rnacentral:rRNA from 1 species
UACGUAGGGCGCGAGCGUUGUCCGGAAUCAUUGGGCGUAAAGAGCUCGUAGGCGGCCUGUCGCGUCUGCUGUGAAAUCCCGGGGCUUAACCCCGGGCGUGCAGUGGAUACGGGCUGGCUGGAGGCAGGCAGGGGAGAACGGAAUUCCCGGUGUAGCGGUGAAAUGCGCAGAUAUCGGGAGGAACACCGAUGGCGAAGGCAGGUCUCUGGGCAUUAACUGACGCUGAGGAGCGAAAGCAUGGGGAGCGAACAGG